UACGUAGGGUGCAGGCGUUAAUCGGAAUUACUGGGCGUAAAGCGUGCGCAGGCGGUUUGUUAAGACAGGUGUGAAAUCCCCGGGCUUAACCUGGGAACUGCGCUUGCUACUGGCAGACUUGAGUGUAGCAGAGGGGGGUGGAAUUCCACGUGUAGCAGUGAAAUGCGUAGAGAUGUGGAGGAACACCGAUGGCGAAGGCAGCCCCUGGGUUAACACUGACGCUCAUGCACGAAAGCGUGGGGAGCAAACAGG
rnacentral:rRNA from 1 species